rnacentral:rRNA from 1 species
AGUUUGAUCCUGGCUCASGAUGAACGCUGGCGGCSUGCCUAACACAUGCAAGUYGAGCGGAGAAUGAAAGAAGUGCUUGCACGGACAUCAUUUUCAGCGGCGGACGGGUGAGUAACACGUGAGCAACUUACCUUCUUCUGGGGGAUAACACCGGGAAAAUGGUGCUAAUACCGCAUAACGUCCGAUCGUCACAUGACGAGCGGACCAAAGGAGCAAUCCGGGAGAAGAUGGGCUCGCGGCCGAUUAGAUAGUUGGUGAGGUAACGGCCCACCAAGUCUGCGAUCGGUAGCCGGACUGAGAGGUCGAACGGCCACCUUGGGACUGAGACACGGCCCAGACUCCUACGGGAGGCAGCAGUGGGGAAUAUUGGSCAAUGGGCGAAAGCCUGACCCAGCAACGCCGCGUGAAGGAAGAAGGCCUUCGGGUUGUAAACUUCUUUGAUCGGGGACGAACACAAUGACGGUACCCGAGGAACAAGCCACGGCUAACUACGUGCCAGCAGCCGCGGUAAUACGUAGGUGGCAAGCGUUAUCCGGAUUUACUGGGUGUAAAGGGCGUGUAGGCGGGUCGACAAGUUGGAUGUGAAAUGUACCGGCUCAACUGGUACGCUGCAUCCAAAACUGUCGAUCUUGAGUGUUGGAGAGGAUAGUGGAAUUCCUAGUGUAGCGGUAAAAUGCGUAGAUAUUUAGGAGGAACACCAGUGGCGAAGGCGGCUAUCUGGACAACAACUGA